UACGUAGGGUGCGAGCGUUGUCCGGAAUUAUUGGGCGUAAAGAGCUUGUAGGCGGUCUGUCGCGUCUGCUGUGAAAAUCCGGGGCUCAACCCCGGACUUGCAGUGGGUACGGGCAGACUAGAGUGUGGUAGGGGAGACUGGAAUUCCUGGUGUAGCGGUGAAAUGCGCAGAUAUCAGGAGGAACACCGAUGGCGAAGGCGGGUCUCUGGGCCGUAACUGACGCUGAGGAGCGAAAGCGUGGGGAGCGAACAGG
rnacentral:rRNA from 1 species